rnacentral:rRNA from 1 species
CCAUUUGGGAACUCCUGCGUCGAUAACGGGUGUGUGAUGAGCCUCAGGACGUUUAAACACUUUCAGCAAGGGAACAACCAUUAUUAACUAAUACUUAUAUUAACUGAUAUUACCUGCAAAGAAGUACCGGCUAACUCCGUGCCAGCAGCCGCGGUAAUACGGAGGGUACAAGCGUUAAUCGGAAUUAUUGGGCGUAAAGAGUACGUAGGUGGUAUAUUAAGUCAGAUGUGAAAUACUUAAGCUUAACUUAAGAACUGCAUUUGAAACUAAUAAACUAGAGUUUUAUAGAGGGGAGUAGAAUUCCAAGUGUAGCGGUGAAAUGCGUAGAUAUUUGGAGGAAUACCAGAGGCGAAGGCGACUCCCUGGGUAAUAACUGGCACUGAGGUACGAAAGCUUGGGGAGCAAACAGGAUUAGAUACCCUGGUAGUCCAUGCUGUAAACGAUGUCAAUUUGAAGAUUGUACAUAUUAUUAUUUUUUAUAAUUUUCGUAGCUAACGCAUUCAAAUUGACCGCCUGGGGAUUACGACCGCAAGGUUAAAACUCAAAUGAAUUGACGUGGGACCCGCAACAAGCGGUGGAGCAUGUGGUUCUAAUUCGACUACAACGCGAAAAACUUACUACUCUUGACAUCUAUU